rnacentral:rRNA from 1 species
GACGAACGCUGGCGGCGUGCCUAAUACAUGCAAGUCGAGCGAAGUGGCGGAUGGGUGAUUAACGCGUGGGUAACCUGCCCUUAAGCCGGGGAUACCAUUUGGAAACAGAUGCUAAUACCGGAUAAUACAGGUUGGACCUGCGAUGCAUUAGCUAGUUGGUAAGGUAACGGCUUACCAAGGCGAUGAUGCAUAGCCGAGUUGAGAGACUGAUCGGCCACAUUGGGACUGAGACACGGCCCAAACUCCUACGGGAGGCAGCAGUAGGGAAUCGUCCACAAUGGACGAAAGUCUGAUGGAGCAACGCCGCGUGAGUGAAGAAGGUUUUCGGAUUGUAAAGCUCUGUUGUUGGGGAAGCGGUAAUCAACCAGAAAGUCACGGCUAACUACGUGCCAGCAGCCGCGGUAAUAC